rnacentral:lncRNA from 1 species
CCGGGCUCUCCCCCCCUCCUCCCCCUUUUCUUCGCUUCCUUUUUCAGCUGCUGUUAGUUCGUGGAGUUUGGAGCCUAAGCUUUCAAAAGUCCCAUGUGGCGCCUGUCUUAAGUCGGAGCAUGCUCAGUA